CCAGACCACCGUGUCAGGGCGUCAGUCGGGCAAGCCGCUGCCAGCUCUCUCCAAGGGGCUCCGGGCACAGCGGAGGAAGACACAGCAGUCAUGCUGAAAUAAGCGAGUCAAUGCAAGAAAGCCCCUUUGAUUUGGAGGAUACCUGCCAGGUGCAAGGAGUCAAGGAAAUAUAGGGGGCAGAGCAACGUAAUGAUAAGUACGCAGAAAAAGCACAACUCUGCUCAGACAAGGACUUAUUACAUGAAGAAAGAAUUUAAAAGCCAUGUCUGGACGGAUCUUUCUAACUGGUCUUGGGAUUGUGCCGAUAACACACAAUAGACCUGUACUGAGUCUGCUCAUACUUAGUAUCACGUGUGACCACAAUUUGGAAAGUUACUGCUCGAAGAGUUAAGAGUUUGUGAUCAAACAAGUUCGAAAGAGUCAUAUUGCCUUAUCUUGCCCCAUUGGGAGCGGGUUGCAACGCAUUAAUGCCUUCUAAAAUCAAUUUAGUGGAGCACGACCAGCAUUUGAAAAAGAAGUGAAAUCGAAUACAGCAGGAUAGAACGGUAAAUUAUUAAUGCAUCCUACACAAAGUGGGGGCUAUUAUUAUUUUGUGAAACUUUGACUUCAGAUAUGUAUCUGGACGUGAUAUGAUGCGAAAUGUAAUUCUUAUUGUACUCUGCUGAGCCAAAAGCUUCCCCAAAACUGUAAGAUAAACCCAGCGCUAAUAAAAAGGAGUAGAGAAAAAAAAAAUGAGUUCGGAGUGGAAGUCUGCAGUCUAUUUUCUACUUCGAGUGAUCAGGU